UACGUAGGCAGCGAGCGUUGUUCGGAGUUACUGGGCGUAAAGGGUGUGUAGGCGGUUGUUUAAGUUUGGUGUGAAAUCUCCCGGCUCAACUGGGAGGGUGCGCCCGAAUACUGAAUGACUUCGAGUGCGGGAGAGGAGAGUGGAAUUCCUGGUGUAGCGGUGAAAUGCGUAGAUAUCAGGAGGAACACCUGUGGCGAAAGCGGCUCACUGGACCAUAACUGACGCUGAUGCACGAAAGCUAGGGGAGCAAACAGG
rnacentral:rRNA from 1 species